rnacentral:rRNA from 1 species
AUUGAACGCUGGCGGCAGGCUUAACACAUGCAAGUCGAGCGGUGUGAUGUAGCUUGCUACAUUACCUAGCGGCGGACGGGUGAGUAAUGCUUAGGAAUCUGCCUAUUAGUGGGGGACAACAUUCCGAAAGGAAUGCUAAUACCGCAUACGCCCUACGGGGGAAAGCAGGGGAUCUUCGGACCUUGCGCUAAUAGAUGAGCCUAAGUCAGAUUAGCUAGUUGGUGGGGUAAAGGCCUACCAAGGCGACGAUCUGUAGCGGGUCUGAGAGGAUGAUCCGCCACACUGGGACUGAGACACGGCCCAGACUCCUACGGGAGGCAGCAGUGGGGAAUAUUGGACAAUGGGCGGAAGCCUGAUCCAGCCAUGCCGCGUGUGUGAAGAAGGCCUUUUGGUUGUAAAGCACUUUAAGCGAGGAGGAGGCUACUUGGAUUAAUACUCUAGGAUAGUGGACGUUACUCGCAGAAUAAGCACCGGCUAACUCUGUGCCAGCAGCCGCCGUAA